GUUUCUCCAGUGCCUUACCCAGUGACUAGGACAUGUUAAUUGUGACAGCAGCACAGCUCAUUGCCAGGACUUCCUUUGGAUCUCUCAGUUGACUUGAACAUUCCCACCAUGAAUCUCUUAAUCAUGUAAAUGAGGCUUUAGCAGGAUGGGCCAGCAACGAGAGGAAAGGAGGAAAGAAAAGGAAUUACUAUACUCUUAGAUGGUACCAACUCAUAACUUGUUCUGAUUCUUUCCAUAGAAAGGGUGAGACUUUGGUUUAGUAACUAGUCAAAAAUUACAGCUAAUGAGCAGUAUAAGUGAGUAUCUAAGAAUGGUGGUUAUACAAGGGUUAUGGACAUUCCCCGCCCCAUCACUCACAUCCAGGUAGUUGG
rnacentral:lncRNA from 10 species